UGCCAGCAGCCGCGGUAAUACGGAGGGUGCAACCGUUAUCCGGAUUUAUUGGGUUUAAAGGGUACAUAGGCGGAAUAUUAAGUCAGUGGUGAAAUCCUGCGGCUCAACCGUAGAACUGCCAUUGAUACUGAUAUUCUUGAAUAUAGUUGAGGUAGGCGGAAUGUGUAAUGUAGCGGUGAAAUGCUUAGAUAUUACACAGUACACCGAUUGCGAAGGCAGCUUACUAAACUAUUAUUGACGCUGAUGUACGAAAGCGUGGGGAGCGAACAGGAUUAGAUA
rnacentral:rRNA from 1 species